rnacentral:tRNA from 1 species
GCGGGUGUAACUCAGUGGUAGAGUAUCUGCUUCCCAAGCAGAGGGUCGCGAGUUCGAAUCUCGUCACCCGCUCCA